rnacentral:rRNA from 1 species
CCUACGGGAGGCAGCAGUGAGGAAUAUUGGUCAAUGGUCGCAAGCCUGAACCAGCCAAGUAGCGUGAAGGAUGACUGCCCUACGGGUUGUAAACUUCUUUUAUAAAGGGAUAAAGUGCGGCACGUGUGCCUUUUUGUAUGUACCUUAUGAAUAAGGAUCGGCUAACUCCGUGCCAGCAGCCGCGGUAAUACGGAGGAUCCGAGCGUUAUCCGGAUUUAUUGGGUUUAAAGGGAGCGUAGGUGGGAUGUUAAGUCAGCUGUGAAAGUUUGUGGCUCAACCGUAAAAUUGCAAUUGAUACUGGCUGGCGUGAGUGCAGUGGAGGGAGGCGGAAUUCGUGGUGUAGCGGUGAAAUGCUUAGAUAUCACGAAGAACUCCGAUUGCGAAGGCAGCCUACUAAACUGCCACUGACAUUGAUGCUCGAAAGUGUGGGUAUCGAACAGGAUUAGAUACCCUUGUAGUC